AUCAUCUGACGAGUAUGAAAUAGGACGAAACGUGCGUCUUGGAU
rnacentral:hammerhead_ribozyme from 1 species